rnacentral:rRNA from 1 species
GACGAACGCUGGCGGCAUGCCUAACACAUGCAAGUCGAACGGAGAUUAUUUCGGUAAUCUUAGUGGCGAACGGGUGAGUAACGCGUGGGCAACCUGCCCUCUAGAUGGGGACAACAUCCCGAAAGGGGUGCUAAUACCGAAUGUGACAGCAAUCUCGCAUGAGGUUGCUGUGAAAGAUGGCCUCUAUUUAUAAGCUAUCGCUAGAGGAUGGGCCUGCGUCUGAUUAGCUAGUUGGUGGGGUAACGGCCUACCAAGGCGAUGAUCAGUAGCCGGUCUGAGAGGAUGAACGGCCACAUUGGGACUGAGACACGGCCCAGACUCCUACGGGAGGCAGCAGUGGGGAAUCUUCCGCAAUAGGCGAAAGCCUGACGGAGCAAUGCCGCGUGAGUGAUGAAGGAAUUCGUUCCGUAAAGCUCUUUUGUUUAUGACGAAUGUGCAGAUUGUGAACAAUGAUCUGUAAUGACGGUAGUAAACGAAUAAGCCACGGCUAACUACGUG